rnacentral:rRNA from 1 species
CCAAUAGCGUAUAUUAAAGUUGUUGCAGUUAAAAAGCUCGUAGUUGAAUUUCGGGAUUGACGUGAUGGUCGUGCCUUAAGGGGUAUGAACUGUUGCUGUUGAUUUCUCACCUUCUGGAGAAACUUGAUGUCCUUAAUUGGGUGUCUUGCGGAUCCAGGACCUUUACCUUGAAAAAAUUAGAGUGUUUAAAGCAGGCAUUUUGCUCGAAUACAUUAGCAUGGAAUAAUAGAAUAGGACGGCAUGGUUCUAUUUUGUUGGUUUCUAGGAUCACCGUAAUGAUUAAUAGGGAUAGUUGGGGGCAUUAGUAUUCAAUUGUCAGAGGUGAAAUUCUUGGAUUUAUUGAAGACUAACUACUGCGAAAGCAUUUGCCAAGGAUGUUUUCAUUAAUCAAGAACGAAAGUUAGGGGAUCGAAGACGAUCAGAUACCGUCGUAGUCUUAACCAUAAACUAUGCCGACUAGGAAUCAGACGAUGUUAAUUUUUUAAUGACUCGUUUGGCACCUUACA